rnacentral:rRNA from 1 species
AGUGGACGCUGGCGGCAGGCCUAAUACAUGCAAGUCGAACGGCAGCACAGUGGAGCUUGCUCCAUGGGUGGCGAGUGGCGGACGGGUGAGGAAUACAUGGGAAUCUGCCCAGUCGUGGGGGAUAACGUAGGGAAACUUACGCUAAUACCGCAUGCGCCCUUCGGGGGAAAGCCGGGGACCUUCGGGCCUGGCGCGAUUGGAUGAGCCCAUGUUCGAUUAGCUAGUUGGCGGGGUAAAGGCCCACCAAGGCGACGAUCGAUAGCUGGUCUGAGAGGAUGAUCAGCCACACUGGGACUGAGACACGGCCCAGACUCCUACGGGAGGCAGCAGUAGGGAAUAUUGGACAAUGGGCGCAAGCCUGAUCCAGCCAUGCCGCGUGAGUGAAGAAGGCCCUCGGGUUGUAAAGCUCUUUUGUCCGGGAAGAAAAGCAUCGGGCUAAUACCUCGGUGUUCUGACGGUACCGGAAGAAUAAGCACCGGCUAACUUCGUG